rnacentral:rRNA from 1 species
AGCGUGGGGAGCAAAUAGGAUUAGAUACCCUAGUAGUCCACGCCGUAAACGAUGAAUACUAAGUAUCGGAAUUUUCGGUGCUGAAGUUAACGCAUUAAGUAUUCCACCUGAGUAGUACGGUCGCAAGGCUGAAACUUAAAGGAAUUGACGGGCACCCGCACAAGCGGUGGAGCAUGCUGUUUAAUUCGAAGCUACGCGAAGAACCUUACCUAGGCUUGACAUCCCGUUGACCGUCUUGGAAACAAGAUUUUCCCUUUGGGGACAACGGUGACAGGUGGGGCAUGGUUGUCGUCAGCUCGUGUCGUGAGAUGUUCGGUUAAGUCCGACAACGAGCGCAACCCUCGCCCUUAAUUGCUAACAUUAAGUUGAGAACCUUAAGGGGACUGCCAGUGAUAAACUGGAGGAAGGUGGGGAUGAUGUCAAAUCAUCAUGCCCCUUACGUCUAGGGCUACAGGCGUGCUACAAUGGCCGAUACAAUGAGACGCAAUACCGCGAGGUGGAGCUAAUCUAUAAAGUCGGUCUCAGUCCGGAUUGGAGUCUGCAACUCGACUCCAUGAAGUCGGAAUCGCUAGUAAUCCCAAAUCAGAAUGUUGGGGUGAAUACGUUCCCGGGUGUUGUACACACCGCCCGUCAAGGCAUGGGAGUCGGUAAUACCCGAAGCCGUUAGCCUAACCUAGUAAUAGGAAGGAGACGUCGAAGGUAGGAUCGGUGACUGGGCUUAAGUCGUAACAAGGUAUCCCUACCGGAAGGUGGGGAUG